rnacentral:lncRNA from 1 species
GUUCUUGACACUGCUUUCCAUCAGCCUCCUUUUUCUGCUUUUUAUUCAAGUGACUACUAAUUUUAUUUCCUUCAUCUUGAUCCCCUUUCGGUCUGAGUCCCUUCUACGAAUCUCUUUGAAGUAUGUUCGGAUACCUCCUCGCUAUUCCUAUAUUCAUGCAGUAUUGAGAUUACAGCCAUCAAUUUCCGGAAUGGUAAUAUCCAAAGGGUCAGGGGGUUUUAUUUUAG